CCUACGGGAGGCAGCAGUGGGGAAUAUUGGACAAUGGGGGAAACCCUUAUCCAGCGAAGCCGCGUGAGGGAAGAAGGUUUUCGGAUUGUAAACCUCUGUCAGUGGGGACGAUAAUGACGUUACCCACGGAGGAAGCCACGGCUAACUACGUGCCAGCAGCCGCGGUAAUACGGAGGAUGCGAGCGUUAUCCGGAUUUAUUGGGUUUAAAGGGUGCGCAGGCGGAAGAUCAAGUCAGCGGUAAAAUUGGGAGGCUGAACCUCUUCGAGCCGUUGAAACUGGUGUUCUUGAGUGAGUGAGAAGUAGGCGGAAUGCGUGGUGUAGCGGUGAAAUGCAUAGAUAUCACGCAGAACUCCGAUUGCGAAGGCAGCAUACCGGCGCUCAACUGACGCUCAUGCACGAAAGUGUGGGUAUCGAACAGGAUUAGAUACCCUUGUAGUC
rnacentral:rRNA from 1 species